AACUACUACUGAUGAUGUCGGCGAGUUGAAUCCAUCGAUUUUCACACAUAAAAUCAACAUCAAAAAAUCACGUCAAUUCAGCAGCGUCAUGGUCAACCUGCCGAUCAACCAUUCACAGUGAACAACCUCUAUUCGUAGCGGAAGCGAUCUCUGCGUUGUCGACAAUGCGAACACAAUGUCAUCAAGCCGGAGUACCAACCGGGGCUCUUACAUUGCAACAGUGCGCGGACAUCAGUGUAAAUGCGAGGCAGCGGCUACUGCUGUCGACGAAGCUGACACCGCCUACAUAGAAGAGGUGAUACGAAUGCCGCUUUAUAAGGAACUUGUUGCGACAAUAUAGUACCUCCUAAAUGAUGGGAGUCGGAAAUCAUUGUUUUGUAUGUACUAUUUUAGAAUUCCCUGAGUCAACUUUGAUUCGAGAUUUCCUUGUAUAAUGAAAAUGAAUUUCUUUAUAUAGAAGGCUUAUGAUGGCAAGACAACUACAAACAACAAAUCGAAGCGGUAUUGCAACAAAUCCUGAAGUGAAGAUGAUUAUAGUCGACGACAUGCUUUCAAUCUCAUCCUUAAUAAUCAAGGUUCGCGGCGCAGCUAGUUUUUAAAUACAUUUGUAAUUAUUUUUCAAAAUUGUAUGUAAUUUAGUAUAAUUUAAUUUUGUUUUAAAUUCAACGCUUAUAAUGUAUUUUCACUUAAAAAACAAUA